rnacentral:rRNA from 1 species
UGGGGGAUAUUGCACAAUGGGCGAAAGCCUGAUGCAGCGACGCCGCGUGGGGGAUUAAGGCCUUCGGGUUGUAAACUUCUUUUGCUCUGAACAAGGCAUGCUAAUGGGUGUGUUGAGUGUAGGGGUUGAUUAGCGCCGGCUAACUACGUGCCAGCAGCCGCGGUAAUACGUAGGGCGCGAGCGUUGUCCGGAAUUAUUGGGCGUAAAGGGCUUGUAGGUGUCUGGUUGCGUCAGUCGUGAAAGCUCAUGGCUUAACUGUGGGUUUGCGGUGGGUACGGAAUUGCUUGAGUGCAGUAGGGGAGGCUGGAAUGCCUGGUGUAGCGGUGGAAUGCGCUGAUAUCAGGAGGAAUACCGGUGGCGAAGGCGGGUCUCUGGGCUGUUACUGACACUGAGGAGCGAAAGCAUGGGGAGCGAACAGG